rnacentral:rRNA from 1 species
GACGAACCGAGCGAACGUUGUUCGGAAUCACUGGGCUUAAAGGGCGCGUAGGCGGUCUUGCAAGUCCUGUGUGAAAUCCCUCGGCUCAACUGAGGAACUGCACAGGAAACUGCUUGGCUUGAGUUCGGGAGAGGGAAGCGGAAUUCCGGGUGUAGCGGUGAAAUGCGUAGAUAUCCGGAGGAACACCGGUGGCGAAGGCGGCUUCCUGGACCGACACUGACGCUGAGGCGCGAAAGCUAGGGGAGCAAACGGG